rnacentral:lncRNA from 1 species
CCACAUCUGGCUAGUUUUUGUAUUUUUGGUAGAGAUGGGGUUUUCACGAUGUUGGCCAGGCUGGUCUCGAACUCAUGGCCUCAAGUGACCUGCCUGUCUCGGCCUCCCAAAGUGCUGAGAUUACAGCUGUGAGCCACCUCGCCCAGCUGAUUAUUGUAUUUUUAGUAGAGAUGUGUUUCAUGCGCGUCUGUGUGAAGACACCACCAAACAGGCUUUGUGUGAGCAACAUGGCUGUUUAUUUCACCUGGGUGCAGGCGGGCUGAGUCCGAAAAGAGAGUCAGCAAAGGGUGAUGGAUUAUCAUUAGUUCUUACAGGUUUUGGGAUAGGUGGUGAAGUUGAGAGCAAUGUUUUGUGGGCAGGGGUGGAUCUCACAAAGUACAUUCUCAAGGGUGGGGAGAAUUACAAAGAACCUUCUUAAGGGUGGGGGAGAUUACAAAGUACAUUGAUCAGUUCGGGUGGGGCAGAAACAAAUCACAAUGGUGGAAUGUCAUCAGUUAAGGCUAUUUUUACUUCUUUUGUGGAUCUUCAGUUACUUCAGGCCAUCUGGAUGUAUACGUGCAAGUCACAGGGGAUGCGAUGGCUUGGCUUGGGCUCAGAGGCCUGACAAUGUGGUUUCACCAUGUUGGCCAGGCUGGUCUCAAACUCCUGGCCUCAGGUGAUCCACCUGCCUCAGCCUCUUAAAGUGCUGGGAUUACAGGUGUGAGUCACUGCACCCAGCUGACACCAUUUAUUUUUGUACUGAUAAUAAGGCACAUUUGACUCUAGAGGUUUGUAAAGCCCUUGAGAACAAGGAUCUUCUUAUAUGCCAUGUAUGUUAGUUAACGUUAAUUAAAGCAGCCUUUUUGUUAAAAGAUCUGUAAAAAUAAUAGCUAAAAUUCAAAAGCAAGGUGCUGAGAGACAUAGGAAAGGUGAGCAAGCUCACUUUUUAUUUAUUUUUUUGAGAUGAGGUCUUGCCCUGUCACCCAGGCUGGAGUGCAGUGGCACCAUCAGUGCUCAUUGCUGCCUCAACCUCCUGGGCUGAAGUGAUCCUCCCACCACAGCCUCGCGAGUAGCGAGGAACACAGGUGCAUGCCCCUAUACUUGGCUAAUUUUUUUAUUUCUUGUAGAGAUGGGGUAUCACUAUUUUGCCCAGGCCGGUCUUGAACUCCUGGACUCAGGUGAUCCUCCUACCUUGGCCUCCCAAAGUGUUGGGAUUACAGACCGGGCUCUGUGCCUCAUGCCAAUAAUCCCAGCACUUUGGGAGGCUGAGGUGGGUGGAUCGCUUGAGCCCAGGAGUUUGAGACCAGCCUGGGAAACAUGGCGAAACCCUGUCUCUACUAAAAACACAAAAAUUAGAUGGGUGUGGUGGUGCGCAUCUGUAAUACCAGCUACUCUGGAGGCUGAGACAGGAGAACUGCUUGAACCCAAGAGACGGAGGUUGCGGUGAGCCAAGAUAGUGCCACUGCACUCCAGCCUGGGCAACAGAGCAAGACUUGGUCUCAAAAAAAAUAAUAAUAAUAAUGAGGCCUGGCGCAGUGGCUCACACCUGCAAUCCCAGCACUUUGGGAGGCCAAGGCGGGCGAAUCAUCUGAGGUCAGGAGUUUGAGACCAGCCCAACCAACAUGGAGAAACUCCAUCUCUACUAAAAAUACAAAAUUAGCCGGGCCGUGGUGGCACGUGCCUGUAAUCCCAGCUACUUGGAAGGCUGAGGCGGGAGAAUCGCUUGAACCUGGGAGGCGGAGGUUGCGGUGAGCUGAGAGUGCGCCAUUGCACUCCAGCCUGGACAACAAGAGCGAAACGCCAUCUCAAAAAUAAAUAAAUAAAUAAAGUGUUGGAAUUAUAGGCGUGAGUCUCCCUCUUGGCCAAAAGUUCCUAAUCCCCAAAAUGUCACAGUUUAGUAAGGUGAUACGGCGUCCAUACCACCCAUUUAUGUUUUGGGCAGGACCUAGAACCAUAGGGGUUUAUAGUAUGAGUGGCAAGGAUAGAGCAUUUUGUGGUUAUAGUGAAUAAGAAAUAGUUUCUCUAUUUAAGGAAUGUCUAAUCUUGUACAGCAACUAACCAUAAUGUGAGAUGGAAUGUAUGCUCUACACAAGGCAUUAACAACUUCAUUUUGGAGUUAAGAGGUUGGGAAAUUCACUUUGGGCUGAGAGAGCUAGAGGAAAGUGUUAUGGAGGAGGUAGCUUUGCUCUCAUGCUUUAUAAAGUAAAAUUUUAUCAGGUGGUAAAGUGGAAAGAGAUUGAGGAAAUAGGAGGAGCAAUGAUUUUUCCUUGUACAGAGGCUAAAAAAGGAAAUGCAAGUUUCACUUUAAAAUAAAUUGCAUUUAUUCAUUAUUUGUUAUUAUUAUUUUUUGAGACGGGUAUCACCAUGUUGCUCAGGCUGGAGUGCAGUGGUGCAGUCUCGGCUCACUGCAACCUUGACCUCCUGAGCUAAAGUGAUACUCCUACCUCAGCUUCCCAAGUAGCUGAGGCAGGAGAAUGGCAUGAAUCCGGGAGGCAGAGCUUUCAGUGAGCCGAGAUCGU